rnacentral:rRNA from 1 species
AUUGAACGCUGGCGGCAUGCUUUACACAUGCAAGUCGAACGGCAGCAGGCCCUUGGGUGCUGCCGCGUGGCGAACGGGGGAGAAUAAUACCUGAAAACGUCCCCAGGAGGGGGGUAUCGCACGGCAAACUGUGGAUAUAUCGCGCGUGCUCCGUGGAUGAGAAAGGGGGGGCAGGCAGGGCCGCUUGGCCUUGGGCCUUUGGAGCGGCCGAUGUCAGAUUAGGUAGUUGGUGGGGUAAAGGCCUACCAAGCCGACGAUCUGUAGCUGGUCUGAGAGGACGACCAGCCACACUGGGACUGAGACACGGCCCAGACUCCUACGGGAGGCAGCAGUGGGGAAUUUUGGACAAUGGGCGCAAGCCUGAUCCAGCAAUGCCGCGUGCGGGAAGAAGGCCUUCGGGUUGUAAACCGCUUUUGUACGGAAAGAAAAGGCUUUGGCUAAUACCUGGGGCUGAUGACGGUACCGGAAGAAUAAGCACCGGCUAACUACGUG